GAUCCUGGCUCAGGAUGAACGCUAGCUACAGGCUUAACACAUGCAAGUCGAGGGGAAACGGCAUCAAGCGCUUGCGCCUGAUGGACGUCGACCGGCGCACGGGUGAGUAACGCGUAUCCAACCUGCCCCACGCUAAGGGAUAACCCGCAGAAAUGUGGACUAAUACCUUAUAUUUUCCACCAAGGGCAUCGUCGAUGGAACAAAGAUUUAUCGGUAUGGGAUGGGGAUGCGUCCGAUUAGGUUG
rnacentral:rRNA from 1 species